GAGUUUGAUCGUGGCUCAGAUUGAACGCUGGCGGCAGGCCUAACACAUGCAAGUCGAGCGGUAGAGAGAAGCUUGCUUCUCUUGAGAGCGGCGGACGGGUGAGUAAUGCCUAGGAAUCUGCCUGGUAGUGGGGGAUAACGUUCGGAAACGGACGCUAAUACCGCAUACGUCCUACGGGAGAAAGCAGGGGACCUUCGGGCCUUGCGCUAUCAGAUGAGCCUAGGUCGGAUUAGCUAGUUGGUGAGGUAAUGGCUCACCAAGGCGACGAUCCGUAACUGGUCUGAGAGGAUGAUCAGUCACACUGGAACUGAGACACGGUCCAGACUCCUACGGGAGGCAGCAGUGGGGAAUAUUGGACAAUGGGCGAAAGCCUGAUCCAGCCAUGCCGCGUGUGUGAAGAAGGUCUUCGGAUUGUAAAGCACUUUAAGUUGGGAGGAAGGGUUGUAGAUUAAUACUCUGCAAUUUUGACGUUACCGACAGAAUAAGCACCGGCUAACUCUGUGCCAGCCCGG
rnacentral:rRNA from 1 species